AAGAGCUUCGCUUCAGUGGGGCUCGCUUUUGCUUGCCCCAAUAAAAUGAUGUAAAAACACAUAUGAACUACGAAGUGAACCAGUAUUGAUGAGUGAACAGAAAAGAAAAAAGCUCAACAUCAACAAGCUAGCUGGAAUAAGAGCUGACAGUGACAGCCCUUCUAGGUGUGUUUAACUGUUGCAUACUUUAUUGCCCUUAACUUAGUGUCUGUAUCAAGGCUGUAGCAUUUAUGUUGAAUGAGUUGAAGGCACAAAACAGAGACAGUUUUAAAACAGUAGCAUCUACAUGUAUGUUGAUUUAAUAAGAAGAUUGAUUUCUCGUUAUAGCCUUAGCCGUUGCCCACUCUCUUGAAACUGUGUCAUAUAAAAGCCAUUGGACUUCUCUCAUGUCCCUCAACAACAGGUUUAUGUUCUCUUCCUUUAGAGCUACUGCCUGUAAUGAAAAUGCCCUUGACCUUAUGAAUAUAUAUGACUGAUCUGUGUUCUUUGAUUGAAAGGAGAUUAUGAUCUCUGGCAAAUAGUGUCUGAUUAGGACAUCUUUCUGAGCGAAGGAGUCAUUCAGGAGCCAUGUUAAAUCAAUAAACUCCCUCUUCUUAAUCCUCUUUAUUGCAUUGGUUGAUAUCAUUACCACGGUCAUCAUUUUGAUGUUCUCCCCAAUGAGAAUCCCUCUGAGCUGCAUGUAUCCCUUGUCACUAGUAGAGACAACACUGCAAGUCUUCCACCACAAGUGAAGGUUUUACUUUUAAGUUUACACUAUCACCUAUUGGAGGAUAAUCUAAUCACACUAAUCAACAUCUACUUGUAUCUCACUCAGCUAAUGUUCUUUGUAGCCUGACUCAUACUCUAUAGGCAGAAAUUUUUGUGAAUGAUGAAUUAGCAGGAAUUCGUGAGGCCAAAUUUUGUGAAUUUUUUGAAGUACCACCAUUUUGUAAUAGUUUGGAGAGUUAAAAUUAAUUAAUUACCAUGCAUGAAUAAUAAUGAGCCACCAUUUUGAAAUAAGCACGUUGAAAGACAUGGCAAAAGAGUUGGUGAUAGAAAGCUGUGUUAGAGGAUAUCAAUCAUGUGUAUAAAGAGACAUGGUCAGCCUCAAUUGGCCAGUUUCUGACCUGUCGACCGAAGGAUGACAAUAUUUAUGAUCUCUACUCUACUGCUGUUUUGGAAGGAACUGGUGAAACGGUUGGCCACAUUCCACAUUAUAUCUCUGCUUUGUGUGGAUCAUUUUUCAGAAGGGAUGGAAAUAUUUUAUACUAAGUAACUGGUAAGAAGAGGUAUUCUAAAGACCUGGAACAAGAUAUCAAAAUAAGAAAAAGCUCCAAGGAAUAUUGGGAACAAAAUAUCAGUUAGAGAGCUCAAAGGACACAAUGAAGAGGAAGGUGGACCUAAAAAAGAUCAAAUCAGAAUUGAAGGAAGAAAACUUAGAAGGCAGACAUUUCUUUAUCUUACCACAUUAUCAAUCAACUAUAUACUUCACAUUAUUUUAUUAUAACACUAUAAAUUAUCUGUGGAGGGAGGAAGUCUCCAGACAUUGUGCCAGCAAACAAUGCUGUUAUUGGCCUCUUAUCAUUUGUUCCAGGAACAGCUACUCUCGUUGAUCCCUCCUUGGCCAUAGUCCACUGACCAACUGGAACACAUUUCAGACCUGUAUGAUCCCAAUUGACAAUGAGAGCACUAGGUAUAUCCUCAAUAUCAGUUAUACAAGUGACAUCAAACAAAAAUUGGUGCUUCAUGGUUUCAAAGUCAUCUGACUUCACACUCAUCUUUGUGUUGGCUUUUUGUUUUACGUAACCCAUUCUCUUCAAAACACUUCUAGCCCGCUCUUUAGAAAAGCUAAUAUGAAGACCCUAUAGGGUGCUAACUUCUAGAAGCAAUUAUAGAUACCGUAUAUGAGACACUAUCCGUAAAUUUCCGUAUCCUAUCCGCAUUCUUUAAUAAAAAAAAUUUCGAAAUUCUCCUGGUGGUUGGCAAAACAAGGCAAAACCAAUGGAUAGGAGGCUAAAAGCAGCCUUUGUGGACAAGUUGCUUCAAGUGCAAUGACGCUUUUUCUCAGGAGACAUUCUGGGCUUUAUUCUUCACUGUUUUUGGCAUUUAUUGCCACUCAGGCAAGCUCUGGAAGCCAUGAAGGCCUCUUGUUCCUUGUUUCCCCAUGUAGCUACACUGUAUCUUGUCCUCCAAAUCUUGAGUGUGGGUGGAUACCGUAAUGCAAUAAUUACUUGCAGAAAUUAGCGCCCUAUAGGGUCUAUAUGACCACCAUUUAUCUCAAGCAAGUUCUGUCAUAGCCAUUCACUAUCCCCUUUCCAGUUGCUAUUACGAUAUGAGUGUUUACAACUGAAGCUGCUUAUUUCCCAACAAUAAAGGCCUUCCUCUUUUUCUUGAUCCUAAGUUACUCACCUCUAUGAGAGGAUCAUUUCCUUUCUAGAUGCUAACUCCUUUUGUCUUGGUUCAUCCAAGUACAGACAGUACAUUCUUUCAAUGAUCUGUUAGAGAAGUCACCUUUAUUAUGAUGCUUGACUGUGUUAGUUAUCCCCAUCUCAGCAGCUCUCUGGGCAAUCCUCACCUUCUCUUCUUCUGAAUACACAUUGUACUCUUCCUUUUUCCUUUUUGUUGGUCAUCAUUGAUACAUGUGUCUACUACAAUUUUUCUUUUCUGAGAUAAUACAUUUUGGACAUUGUUGAGUAUUUCUGUAUUUUCUUUUUUUUUUAUCAUCAGCAAUUCUCUUUUAUGCAUAAAUUCUAUUUAUGUUUCUCUA